ACACAUUGUGUCCACAGAUGGGCAUUCAUGUGGUGUUUGCUAAUUCUAUGGCAGAAUUAGCCAGACCCACAAGACAAAAGAUACCUGUCAGGUCACAAGAAGCCUUGGGAUCACCAUUGCCAGAACCAAGGUGUACGUGGGGAGGACAGAGGACAGUUUUGUGAAGCUGAGUCUCUCACCUUUAUGCUGGUUCUGGUGACCAGGUGGCCAGGCUUACACAGGAAUAUGGUUUGAGAUCAAUUUAGAGGAGAAAAAAAAUCUUUGGAGCUAAUGUCAUCAUUCUUCAUUCAAGGACCUGGGUCCUCUUCAAGAGAAGCAGCACCGCCGAGACUUCUAACCCCAAACGCCAACAAGUUCUGAAGAAUGCACAUUCAAUUUUUCUUGAAAAAGUGGUAUCUUCUUAUUUAGAAGUCUAAACAGUCCAUAAGAGAUUGAGGAAAUAUCUCCAUUCUUUCUCCUCAUUUUUCCCAUUAUGCCUUUGUCUAGAGAUGGUUCCUGUUAAUAAUAUUUUGGUAACAGUAACAACUACUCUUAUAUAAAAUGUUUGAUGGGAUUGUAUAAGGUUUUUCUUUCACAUGUUGCGAUUUUAUUUCCUAAGGGAUUUGCCAUUUUAAGAUGAUAGAUCUUUCUAGAAUGUUUUACCUAUUGUUACUAUUUUUAUUUAUUAGCAAAUGGUAGCUGUGCAUAAAUGACGUGUUCAUGGCAUUUUCAUGCUUGUACAUAAUGUGUUUUGAUCAUGCUCACCCUGCUGCUCUCUCUUGGCCCUCUCCCACCCCUGCCCAUCCGUCUCUUCACCGCCUUCUUCCUACUUUCCUGUUUUUACUUUUGUUCUCCCACGAGUUUAGUUGUGCACGGUGCAAUGCACAAUGAAAUGCAAUGGUGCAUGGUCAUGCUACCAGUGGCUAUAUUUUAAUGUCUCCUCUUUCUCCAUCAGUAAUUACCUACCUAGAUUUCAUUGAGCAUGUUAGGGCCUCAGGAGCCUCUUCUCCCUAGCAACGCUCAAUUGCCUAUAGGUCACCAGGGAUGGGCAUGGAACUUGUGACCGUCUCUCCCUUUCACGAGACAAUGCGGAUGGGCUCACUCUUGUGCAGGUCUUGUACUGGUAAUCAAAGUCACCGUGAGUUCAUGAGCUCAGUGGCCAUGCCAUGCCUGGAAGACAGCGUUCCUCGAUACGCCCCAUUCCUUCCUCUGGUUUGUACAUCCGUGCUCCCCACUCUUCCUACCUGUCCACACAGCUUCUUCAAUGCUCCCUGAGCCUGGGAAGAAAUGGUCUAGUGUAGUGAUAUUUUUGUUUGCAAUCUGAUCAAUAAAGCUUGCCUGAUGAUCAGAGCACAGAGCUAAACUACUGGUUAGCUACACACCUAGUUGAGAGCUAAGCCACUAGUUGGCAACACACAUGCUAAGACAAUAGUUAGCCACACACCUAAGCCACUAGUUAGCCAUAGAGGACAGGCAGUGGUGGCGCACGCCUUUAAUCCCAGCACUCGGGAGACAGAGGCAGGUGGAUCUCUGUAAGUUCAAGGCCAGCCUGGGCUA